UGAAUCAAAUUCAUCAUUUUUCAUCUGAAAGUAGUCACUGAUUUAGUCAUUUUUCUGUGAGUAAUACUGGAAUAUUUAUUUGGCUAAGGCCUCGUUAUAUUCAUUGGGAAAUAUCACUUCAGCUUUUACAUUCUAGAGAUGGUGAUUUAGCAGAAGCUCCUGCCUCUGCCAACCUAUUGUCAUGAUUCUUCUUUGUGCUCUGAAUAAAGUAGAACAACAAGCAGUGUUUAAAAAUUGUCAAUUUCUUAUGGUGUUCAUCAUUUUUGUUUGGCCUUUUAUCUAUCUUCCUUGUGUUUACUGAAAGAAAAGCAUCAAAUGUAUCUAUGAAAUGUCCUGAUAUUUAAGUUGGGAUCUAAACAAAUAUGCCAUUAGACUUUUCGGACUUAUCUUCACCUGAUGCGAGUAAUGCACAAGAUCUAAGAGGAAAAAUUCUUUCAAAUUCUUCCAGCCCAGCUCAUGCUCCAGUUCAUGAAAAGGAUCAAUGUGGGAGAUCAAAUGUGAAUGGUGGGUGCCACAACUCAACUGGAUCAAGAUUGAACUGAAUAAGGAAGAAUUUCUGAAAUAUUUUGAUAUACGUUUAUAUACAUUUGGUUUUGAGUGGAACUUGGGACAAAUUUUUAUUAUGUUGUUUUCUAAUUAGCAUGUAAAAGACAUGUUUUUUUGAAAUCAAAUCUAUGCACUUCAAUUAUUUAUUAG